GGGUGCAUAGCUCAGUGGUAGAGUAUUUGCUCAAGAGGUCCCUAGUUCAAAUCUAGGUAUUCCUU
rnacentral:tRNA from 1 species